ensembl:lncRNA
CCCGGCUUGGCCUUCCCGCAGAUCUUGGUUAUGUAUCUGUAUGUUUACUUAACUGUAUGUGUCUUCCCGUUGGACUUAAGCUCCGGGCAGAGGCGGCGGCUGUUUUGCGAGAAUUGCCCAGGGACAGGAGGCUUCCAGGAGCUGCGCGGCUGCAGCUCGGCCUCGGAGGCCCACGGGUGUUGUGCACUGCACGGAGGGACGGCGCGGGGCGGGCACCCCGGCCAAGCGAGCCCCCCGGCAAAUGCUGGCCCGGAACGAGGCUCUCCCAGGUGGUGACGGGAGGUGCAUCCUUCUCAGUGACCUCUUGUCUCUCGAGUCCGACCCGUAACUGCUCGCAGCGACGUGGACCCGAAGAGCACUGUCUUGCCACCCCCUGGGCCACGGAUGGCCCCAGGAGGACCCGCCUCCCUGGGCAGGACCUUGCAUUGGGCCCGCCCCCGCCAGAACCCAGCAGGCACCUCCGACCCUGUCUGGGCCUCAGCUCUCCACCUACAGGGUGGGCAGCGUCGUGUCUGCCCCCAGGUGGCUGUGCAUGCGGGACACGGAGCUGCCCCACGACCACCCCCGAGGCCGCCGCUCUUGCCGGAAGCUCUGCUCCUUUUCCGGGGCCACGAGGCUCAGGCCGGACACGUCCGAGGCGCCUGAUCCUCCUCCGUCUGUGUGGACACCGCAGCUUCUGAGGACGGCCCCCCCAGCCCCAUCCCCGGCCUCCCAGGCCUGGACCAUGGCUGUAGCUCAGUGGCUCAUUUCCACCCGAUUUGGCCCCUGUGUCCACUGCUCAUCCACAGAUGAGUCUUCCCGAAGCACAAGGUCAGGGACGUCACUCUCCCAGCGGCUCCUCACGGACGGUGCUCAGGGCCCCUGGCCUGGCCCGGGGACUCCUUCCCUGUGACGCUUUCUGUCCACACNNNNNNNNNNNNNNNNNNNNNNNNNNNNNNNNNNNNNNNNNNNNNNNNNNNNNNNNNNNNNNNNNNNNNNNNNNNNNNNNNUCCUGACUUGCUCACACUGCGCCGCCGCCCCAUGGCCCACCCCCCACCCCGCGGCAGGUUACCCCAGCUUCCGGGACCCUCGGUUCUUCGCCUACAUUCUUACCCUCAAAUCCGGCAAAUGCCGGAGCACCUCCCUCGUGCCAUUUACAGUUUGGAGAUGCUGCGUCCCUCUCUCCUCCGCUAAGUAGCGAGCUCCCCGAGGUCCGGAGUUGAUGCGCUUCACCCGCGGGUCCUGGGACUGAUCCGCCACGAAAGGGAGCAGACGGGCUUCACCCCAGGAAUUCCAGCUGACGCCGCGGCCCCAGGCCACAUCCUACCCCUCGAGCCAGAGCCCAAGGAGACAGCAGGGCCAGGGUCUGGCCAGCAUUCGGGCUCCAGCUGGUCUUGCUCUGGCAUCACGAGACCCAGGCUCCGGCUGUGAGGAGGACGUCCCGCCCGAGGGAAAUGGGGGCCACGGGAGAGAUCCCCCCCUCCACUCCGAUCCGCCAACAACCCGUCCUGAGAAUCCCACCGGCCGCCACCAGCUCCUGUUUCGGGGACGGGCAGCCACAGCCCGCAGGCCAGCUCAGGCCACCGCCUGCCCCUGUAAGGCUCCUCGGGAUCACCGCGCCCGCGCCCGGGCCUGGCUGCUUUCCCGCCAAACAGAGCCAGACACCACGAGGCCCCCCGCAGCCAAACACACCGACUCUCC